UGGGGAAUAUUGCACAAUGGGCGCAAGCCUGAUGCAGCCAUGCCGCGUGUGUGAAGAAGGCCUUCGGGUUGUAAAGCACUUUCAGCGGGGAGGAAGGCGUUAAGGUUAAUAACCUUGGCGAUUGACGUUACCCGCAGAAGAAGCACCGGCUAACUCCGUGCCAGCAGCCGCGGUAAUACGGAGGGUGCAAGCGUUAAUCGGAAUUACUGGGCGUAAAGCGCACGCAGGCGGUCUGUCAAGUCGGAUGUGAAAUCCCCGGGCUCAACCUGGGAACUGCAUUCGAAACUGGCAGGCUGGAGACUUGUAGAGGGGGGUAGAAUUCCAGGUGUAGCGGUGAAAUGCGUAGAGAUCUGGAGGAAUACCGGUGGCGAAGGCGGCCCCCUGGACAAAGACUGACGCUCAGGUGCGAAAGCGUGGGGAGCAAACAGG
rnacentral:rRNA from 1 species